rnacentral:lncRNA from 1 species
UAGUGGUUUGAGGCCCGGGGGUUGGGAACCCCUGAUGUGUAAGUACCAGGUGGGUGGGGGUCCUCCUGACUUGUAGGUGCCCAAUGUGGGCCAGGCUCAGCUCGACCUGGGUGUACACAGCCCACGCCAGCCCCCACCCAGCCCCACCUUGUCUGGGUCCCUUGGGGCCAAUGUGCACCAAGGACAUGGAGGGCCCUGUGCCACUGAUGGGACAGCAGUGGAAUCAGACUAACAGUGGUCCUCUCAGCAGAAACUUUACAAGCCAGAAGAGAUUGGGGGCCAAUAUUCAACAUUCUUAAAGAAAAUAAUUUCCAACCCAGAAUUUCAUAUCCAGCCAAAUUGAGCUUCACAAGCAAAGGAGAAAUAAGAUCCCUCUUAUUGGGGCCCUGCGUCCCAACAUGGUGGAGGACUACCUAGGCUCGGGGGAGAGAAGACAGGAAGGGCAGCUGAGAGUGCCACACACACCCCAUCACACGUGCACUGCAGACCCCCUCACACAUGUGAGCACAGGGCAUAAGCACGGCCUGAGUCUAUGGAUGGAGGGAGGCUCCCAGGCCCAGAGCACACAGCAAGCCAGGUCCCAAGGCCAGUAGACAAGAGGCUCCUGGCCUGGAUGACGAACACAGAGAUGUGUGCCCAUGUGACGCCAUGGGAUAGGGCCACCGUGGCCAGAGGACAGGAGCGAGGACGGUGUUGCCGGCUGGACGGACAGACAGGCAGAGGGAGGCCAGGCAGAAGGAGCCGGCUGGGUAGCCUCUAAACCGCUAGGAAUGGGUAGAGUCCAUGAGCAGCAACGAUGCAGGAUUCCCACAAUCCUUCCAUUUUCCAAGUUAGUAUUGAGCCUGCUAGGAGCUGAGGAUAAGGCAGCACAUAAGGUAAGUUUCCAAGGGUCAAAUUUCCAUCUGUGUGUGGAAUUUGUGUUGUUCAUAGACUAAUCAAGUGGUUUCAGAUGUCUGGGUCUGUCUCUAAGUCUGUUUACUUGCAAAUCCAAGCCAAGGUUAAACAAAUGGUCUUCAUUAAACCUUCAUUUGAUCUCAUGUCCACAGUCUGCUCUGCCAGUAGUUUACAGCCAGAGGCAAAGCAAACCAAGAACACAGAGCCAUCUACAGGGAAAAAUCCUGGGUAACUACUUCUUCUCAGAAAAGCCCAUCACCAUCUCCACGCUCAAGAGAAUAGUGCUGGACCCCUACCUCACACCAUGUACCAAAACUAACUCAGAACAGACCAACAACCCUAAUGUAACAGCAAAAAAUAUAGAACUCUCAGACAAAAACCCAGGGGAAAAGCUUGACAACAUUGCUUUUGGCAGUGAUUUCUAGGAUAUGACACCAAAAGCACAAGCAGCAACAGAAAAAAACAUUAAAUUUAAACCAUCUGUGCACCAAGGACACUGAACAGUGAAAACACAACCAUGAAAUGGGAGAAGAAGUGUCCGUGACAGUCGCUGUCAUGGAAGUCACCUCCCCAGCACCACAAGGGAGAGCCAUCCUUCCUGCAGGGCGGCCACGUGGCCACCUAGGCUGGUCCCGGGAGACCUUGGACCCAGGCUGGUGCCUGCCCCAGCUCCUGUCCCGAGACGUGGCUGAAGGAAACCCGAGUGAAGGCUGAGUGCCCCAUGAGGGACCCGGGCUCUGACACAGACAGACUGUCCCGGCUGGAGUCCAGCUCCUGGACGACCUGGGUCUCCCCGUUCUGCACUGGUAUCGCGCGGUGAGGCGGCGCUGAUCAGAACCUCAAAAGACCUGACCCCGAACACCGUCAUCCCAAAUCCUGAGCUCCUGAAAGAUCAAAACCUAACAUGUUGGUGUUCUGACCAGUUUCUCUGUGAAUGGUUCAUCUGCACAUAACUCAUAUCCACGUGACUGAAUGAGCACACCUGUGUGUCUGUGCUGGAGAAAAUGUUAUGAUCACCGACUUUAUUGGGAUGUCAGCAUUCAGAACUGUGUCCCAGGAUCGUGGCCCAGACCCACAGGGCAGGGGCGUGCACUUUUGAGGGUUCUGAAGACGACUCAACAGGGUGCCUGACCUGCUGGUAAGGACUCAGGAGACCUCACCUGUCCUCGUCACACUCAUGGAAGGGGACUCCAGAUCCCUGGCGUAGCUGGUCUGGGAACUGGGGAGGGAUGGGCAGUGCCCGGUAUAGGGUGCAACCUCCAGUGCCCACAUUAGCACGUCUGUUGCUGUGAGAUUCUAUCCUGUGGACACCUGUGGCUGUAACACACACCUUCCCACUGCUGUCACAGGAGUGAUACUCUUUCCGAUUCUAACAUCAGUGUGUGCACAUUUUGGGAAAACCAGCAAGUACAGAAGAAGAAUUUAGGCCGGGCCCAGUGGCUCACGCCUGGAAUCCCAGCACUUCGGGAAGUCAAGGCAGGAGGAUCGCUGGAGGCCAGGAGUUUGAGAUCAGCCCGGGCAACAUAGUGAGACCUCAUCUCUAUUUAAGAAAGAAAAAGACCACUGGUCCUCCCAGUGUUUACAAGAUUUUUCCAUUAAAACAGGAGGGAUCAUAAUGAGCGGCCUAACAAAGACAUUUAAAGACACGCCAAGAAGGGGCGCAGACAGGAGUCCUGAGAUGCAGUCAUGGGAACCCGCACCUGUUUUCCCGCCCUGGGCACCCAGCGUGGACAGGCUGGCCGGUGCCAGGGUGAGCAGGGCAGGCUGAGGUCUCCAGUGGGUGGGGACAGGUUAGGGGGCAGCAAUUCAGUGACCCUGUCCAGGACUGGGUCCCUUGCAGAAGGUGAGGUCAGCCAGGGGUGGGGGUGGUGGCUGUGGAAUCCGUUGUCUGGUCUAUAGGGGGUCCCCCUACCGAAGCCCUAACCCUCUCCCCUUCACCACCCCAGUGAUCUCCUGGCCCAGGCUGCUGCCUCCAGCAGCUCCCCAGCCCCCAGGACAGUCCUUCAGGACUCUAGGGGGAGUCCCGUCUACAAGGACGGCUCACCAGUCUCCCGCCACAGCCAGUGAGGAUGGGGUCCUGCAGCCGAAGUGGUGUGUGCCCAGUGUGGUGUCCCUGGCAGGCUGGGAGGGUGCCCCCAGCUGCCAGUUAGUGAGGCUGGGUUAGCACGAGGGCAAGGAGCUUGGAUUCUGGGGCUGACAGCCUGAGCUCAACUCCAGCGCCCCAUCUUGCUGGGGCUCCUCCGCCUGGAGGCGGCUCCUCCACCUGCCUCUGCCUCCGUUUCUGCAGCAGUUGCCUGCCGGACUCCAGCCCGAGGCGGGGGCCACGGCUGACCCAGCUGGAGAACGCCCCACUGGCCCAGUCAGUGCUGUCCUCUGCACCUGAUGGCUUCUCUUGGCAGGGAGGGCUCCCCCGCCCCCGGGCUCUGUGCCAGCCAGAGGUUCCGCAGGAGCUGCUCACUUCCUCCCGCCGGCAGAGGCAGCCUGCGGGGCGGCUCCAACCUGGAGAAACCAAAAUCAGGGCAAGUCCCUGGCUGCUUCCCUGGAAAGCCCCGACGGAGUCCCCGCUCCUUCCCGCCGGUUCUCAGGGUGCUUUAUUUCAGAAGGGGAUUUCUUCCUCCUGAGAAUCUGAUGGCCACAGGGUGCCUGUCACAUGUCCACAUCGGGCCCUCCUGGCUGUCACCAACUUGUCCAACUGUCAGAGGUGUUUGAACCAGAGCGACUCCGUCUUGAAUAGGGGCUGGGUGGAAUGAGGCUGGGGCCUGCUGGACUGCGUUCCCGGGAGGGUAAGGCAUUCUUAGUCACAAGACAGGAGGUUGGCACAAGAUACAAGUCACGAAGACCUUGCCGAUAAAGCAGGUUGCAGUAAAGAAGUGGCCAAAUCCCACCAAAACCAAGAUGGUGACUAGAGUGACCUCUGGUCGUGCUCGCCACUCAUUAUACACAAAUUCUAAUGCAUUAGCUGCUAAGAGACACUCCCACCAGCGCCAUGUCCACAAAUGCCAUGGCAACGUCCGAAAGUUACCCUGCACGGUCUAAAAAGGAGAGGAAGCCUCAGUUCUGGGAAUUGACCACCCUUUCCCAGAAAAUUCAUGAAUAAUCCACUCCUUGUUUAACAUAUAAUCAAGAAAUGACCAAAAUAAGCAUAAGAAUAUUCAGCUGAGCAGCCCAGCCCUCCGCACUGCCUCUGGAGUAGCCAUUCUUUAUUCCUUUACUCUAUUAAUAAACUUCUCACUUGAC